AUGCCUCGGAAGCACAAAAACAAGCAUCAUGCCCACGGGAAACACCACCAGGUCCAGGAGGAUACUCAGGAGGCCCAGGCCAGUGCUGCUGCAGCCCCAGGAGAGGAGUGCCCCUCCUCCCCUUCUUCUGUCCCUCAGGGUUCUCCCCCGAGCUCCUCUGAUGCUGGCAAUCGCCAGGAGCUUCAGGGAGCCAUGGCCCCUAGCUCUCCUGAUGCAGAGGCUUCCUGUGCAGGAGCUGAUCAAGGUGCCCAGGGCCCCGAGGAGGAUAGUGCAGAUGCCGCCCGAGCAGCCCUGCUCGCUCGGAGCAUUCGCAAAGAUCCUCUCAUGCGGAAGGCCAGCAUGGUGAUGGAUUUCCUGCUGGAGAGGUACACCAAGAAGGAGCCCAUCACAAAGAAUGCCAUGCUGAAUGUCAUCGGAAGGAAGUACAAGGAGCACUUCCCGGAGAUCCUGAGCAGAGCCUCUGAGCGCGUGGAGCUGGUGUUUGGCCUGGAGCUGAAGGAAGUCGACUGCAGCAGGAACAUCUACGCCCUCGUCAACAAGUUCACUCUCGGGGUUGAGGAAGGUUCAAGUGAGGAGGAGGAGCUGCCCAAGUCUGGUCUCCUCAUGGCGCUCCUGGGCAUCAUCUUUAUGAAGGGUAACCGUGCCACCGAGGAGGAGGUCUGGGAUUUCCUCAAUGUGUUGGGGAUCUAUGCUGGGAGGAAGCACUCCAUCUUUGGGGAGCCCAGAAAGCUCAUCACCAAAGAUCUGGUGCAGAAGGGGUACCUCAACUACCGCCAGGUGCCCAAUAGCGAUCCUCCACUCUACGAGUUCCUGUGGGGCCCGAGAUCUUAUGCUGAGACCAAUAAGAUGAAGGUGUUGGAAGUUCUGGCCAAAAUCCAGGAUACAGUCCCGAGUUCCUUCCCAGACCUCUAUGACGAGGCUCUGAGAGAUCAGGCGUUUAGAGCAGGGCUGAGAGGCAUUCCCAUUUCUCCAGCCAUGGCUGAGGCCAGUGCCCCUUCCAGGGCCAAGUCCUACAGCUCCUCCCACAUCUAG
rnacentral:lncRNA from 1 species